rnacentral:rRNA from 1 species
UUUGGUGGUCAUAGCGCGAGCAAAACACCCGGCUCCAUUCCGAACCCGGCCGUUAAGUGCCGUCGCGCCAAUGGUACUGCGUCUCAAGACGUGGGAGAGUAGGUCGCCGCCAAAC